rnacentral:lncRNA from 1 species
UAAUAGACAUACGAUUAGUUAUAUGGGUAAAUAAAUAGCGCAAGUAUUGUUCAUAUUCAUGCUUGUAUUUAUAAAUAUCGGCCUUAACUGUGACGCGAGGCCAACCUUUAUACGUAGGAUUAAAUACUCUUCUAAUAUAAUGAAUCCAAGCAGGAUUAGAAGCAAAAGAAUAAGGCAAACACAUACCAGUAAUCAUUUUAGCUAAUUCUUCACGAUCCUUAUUUGGAUCUUAAUACAAUAUACCUCCGGUGACUGUGUUUAUUCCUGGUUAAAAUAGAUUUGAACCAGUACUUGGGUUAACUGUUGUAUCAGGACUUGCCCUCCCCUCUUGUUGCGCUUUCAAUUGGAAAUAUCUAGC